rnacentral:tRNA from 1 species
CAAAAAGUAGCUUAAAAUAAAGCACUUGACCUACAAUCAAGAUAUAUUAGACACAUUAAUCUUUUUGA